GAACGGCUGCUAAUACCGCAUAAUGCAGCGGCUCGACAUCGAGACAGUUGUUAAAGCGGGGGAUCGCAAGACCUCGCGCCUAAAGAGGAGCCUGCGGCGGAUUAGCUAGUUGGUGAGGUAAUGGCUCACCAAGGCAUCGAUCCGUAGCCGGCCUGAGAGGGCGGUCGGCCACACUGACACUGACAUACGGGUCAGACUCCUACGGGAGGCAGCAGUCGGGAAUUUUGGGCAAUGGGCGAAAGCCUGACCCAGCAACGCCGCGUGAAGGAUGAAAUCCCUCGGGAUGUAAACUUCGCAAGAACAGGAAGAAUAAGUGGGGGACAAUACCCCCCAUGAUGACGGUACUGUUUGUAAGCUCCGGCUAACUCCGUGCCAGCAGCCGCGGUAAUACGGGGGGAGCAAGCGUUGUUCGGAUUUACUGGGCGUAAAGGGCGCGUAGGCGGUCGUGACAAGUCACUUGUGAAAUCUCCGGGCUUAACUCGGAAAGGUCAAGUGAUACUGUCGGACUAGAGUGCAGAAGGGGCAACUGGAAUUCUCGGUGUAGCGGUGAAAUGCGUAGAUAUCGAGAGGAAGACCUGCGGCGAAGGCGGGUUGCUGGGCUGACACUGACGCUGAGGCGCGAAAGCCAGGGGAGCGAACG
rnacentral:rRNA from 1 species